rnacentral:rRNA from 1 species
UACGUAGGGGGCGAGCGUUGUCCGGAAUUAUUGGGCGUAAAGGGCGUGUAGGCUGUUCUGUAAGUUGGAUGUUAAAGGUAUGGGCUCAACUCAUACAUUGCGUUCAAUACUGCAGUUCUAGAGAAUGGUAGAGGAGAACGGAACUUCCGGUGUAGCGGUGAAAUGCGUAGAUAUCGGAAGGAACACCAGUGGCGAAGGCGGUUCUCUGGGCCAUUUCUGACGCUGAGGCGCGAAAGCUAGGGGAG